rnacentral:rRNA from 1 species
CCUACGGGAGGCAGCAGUAGGGAAUAUUGCUCAAUGGGGGAAACCCUGAAGCAGCAACGCCGCGUGGAGGAUGAAGGUUUUCGGAUUGUAAACUCCUUUUGUUAGAGAAGAUAAUGACGGUAUCUAACGAAUAAGCACCGAUAAAUUCCGUGCCAGCAGCCGCGGUAAUACGGAGGGGGCAAGGUUUACUCGGAAUCACUGGGCGAAAAGAGCGCGGUAGGGGGAUAGAAAGUCAGAUGGAAAAUCCUAUGGCUUAACCAUAGAACUGCAUUUGAAACGGUUAUUCUAGAGUAUGGGAGGGUGAGGGGAAAUUCUUGGUGUGGGGGUAAAA